rnacentral:lncRNA from 1 species
GAUUUUCCAGGCAAGAGUACUGGAGUCGGGUGCCAUUGCCUUCUCUGAAAAUACACUGAUAGGAGAACCUAAGUCAAAAAUUAAUGAACUUUGUCAUUAAAUUUGUCAUUUAUUUCGCCUGCUGUGAAAGGAGAACCAUACAAUUUCAUUCUUGGGUAUCUUCUCUUGGUUAUUUACAUGAAUUAUUUAUAUUAUGUCUGGAAAUUUAAUACAUGUCAUAGAGCUGCAAAUUACACAAUACAUCUUGGGUUUUGUAGUUUGCUAUCUAAAUGGGUAAUCAAUCUCAGUUAUUAGUUUUAUUUAUUGAACCCGGCUCAGGAAGUAGCAGCUUGACCCCAUUUUACGCUGUGUUAAAAACACAGAUAUGGUCAGUCUAAGAUGUUUGAUGCGGUGAAGGUAAAAAGAAAACCAAUGUAAGUGAAAGAUCAAUUAAUAAAUGCUGUGCCAAUCCUAUAUGUCAGGAUUGUGGGUGGAGAUUAAUGUAUUGCCCCUAACAAGGCAGAAAUCAGAACACGCUGGCCAGUAGGUAAAAACACUGAAUAAACAUACGGCUUCAAGAGUCAUUCUGAAUCAGUGAAACAAACCUUGGAAAUUUUAAGAAAUGAGCUCUUAGGUGUACAAAACCAAUCAGCUUCCUCUUAUCUGAUAAUUAAAAAAAUAAUAAUAAUGUUGGUUUCUAUCCCAGGAGCCUUAAACAAAGUGCAAUGGAGUUGUGCCGUUAGCUUAGUAAUUCCAGUGAUUGCCCAGGAAAGGAUAAUGAAAUCCUUUCUGAGUUGGUUUUUGUAGGACUGUCUUUCAUUUGAAGGGAAAAUGCAGAAUAACGGAAGGGAAAGCUUAGAUCCUGUGAUGGUCAUCUGAGCUCAGAGAGGAAGCGGAAGGAGGAUGGGUCACAAAAAUAAAAAAGAAACAAUUCAGAAGUCUCUGGACACACUCAGGUAUUCACAUCUACCCCCUCCCCCAUAUGAUGACAUGCUUUUCACCCAACUCUUUAAAACAGCCUGCAAUUUUAAGCUUCCAAACUGCUACACAGUUAAUUUUUAUUAAAUAGAAUGUUCUAUAGAAUCCCAUGAACUUGGGCAGUAGGUAGUAUGGCAGACAGAAAGAAUGAUGUGAUAUAGUCACCACGUUAGCUCUAAAGCUAUUAAAAAAAUGCUUUUAUUUGUUUGUUUAUCUUUCUAAUUUUUGGCGG